rnacentral:lncRNA from 1 species
UCCUCAAGCAAUCCACGCAUAAUCAACUACAAUGAUUCAAGAGGUGAAACAAUAUAUGCACUUUGUCCAAUUUAAUUCCUCAAGACUUGGAAAAUAAUCAUUAUAUCAUUGUUCAAAUUACACUAAAUACUCAUAAUAUCAAGUAAAGGAAAGAUAAUUAUACCCUAAAUUCAACAAGUUAAACUUAAUCUCUUACCCUAACUUAAUUUUAUAAAUAAGCAAAUCACAUAGUCAAUUUAUAGCCUUCCUCCUCCUAUAAUAAUCUUUUUCUCAAAAUUCUAUAACUAAGAGGGAUUUAUUCAUACUAAUUUUACUUAAAUAGUGAAAAUACCUUUUUUACGCGAAAAUCGACACUUUUAGGUGAAGAUCCCCAGUUACUCAAUGUCGCGCCCCAUUUUUGGAAAAUCGGAAAAGAGUCGUUUUGAAAUCAUAAUGUGUAGUGUGUGAAAUAUGUGAAGUGUGUGAAUGUGAGAAAUAAAGAAAAAAGGCCAUGGGACUCUUAAAUGCGACGGUUUGGCCAAAAUAAUAAUCUAAAAAGGUUUGAAAAAAACAGGAGUCUCCACUUGGUAUUUAGUUGGAGUGUACCAAAUCACCCAAAAAGUAGUUUUUGAAAAAGUGUAGUAAAAACCUUUUUAGAUGACUCCUAGCCUACGAAAAUCAGAGAGACGAGUUCGGGGGUCGCGGUUGAUAAAAGGGAAGGCAAAGACAAAGUCUAAGGCACCCUUUUACCCUAGCUUAACCUAGUUGCGUGAUUUAGUCAUGAUUUUCCUAAUUUCUAAACAAAAGAUGUAUCGCGUUUGGAUGUAUCUAAUAUGAAUGCAAUCCUAAACCUAAUGAGGCAUCGAAAGGGACAAAUAUCUCUUAGAGGUUCGAUCGGACUAAAUCACAUGAAGUUGUGAGAGCCAAGGAUAAGCCCUCCAAGAGGUCAUGAAUAAGGCUAAUGACGUAAAAAUGAGUGGAAUGGAUGUAUGCAAUGUGAAAACAUGAACUUGUGUGAAGUGAAAGAAAUAAAAGAUAAUAGUGCGUAAGUGGGAGUGUGCAAAUGGGUGUGCAAGGUGAGGUAUGUAAAGUGAUAGUGUGAAGUGUAUGUGUGCUCAGUGGUAGUAUGUAAAGUGCUAGUGGUAGAGUGAGAAUGUGUAAGAUAAGAGUCAUGUGAAGUGAACAUGUGGAAAAAGUAAUAGUAUAUGAAGUGAGAGUGCAAAAUGAUAGUGGGUAGUGUGAUAACAUAAAGUGCAUGUGUGCAAGUGAUAGGGGGUAAAUGAAAUGCAUGAACCCUAGAGGAAUGCAAGCAAAAUGGGUACGGGGAGACCCUAAAUCGUGACUUUUAAUUUACCUUUUGGUUAGAAAAAGAAUGAGCGUGCUAAGGCUAUAUGUAGCCACACUCGUCCAUUCCCCUUACCAGAAGGGUGACUCCCUAACCUAUGCAAGCAAAUGACCCUAAUAACUAGAAUGAGAUGCGAAGUUCUAAAUGUGUAAGGGAAGGGUUAGGGGAGCAUGCAAAAUGAGCAAUACUAAAAGGAAAAAUGAAUGAAAUGUAAUGAAGGCAUGCGAGUAUGUACUAGCGAGGGGCGGCCCUAUUGGGUCUAGCAUUGGACUAACCCUUAUUUCUACUUCCUCACUAGCAUUGGACUAGUGAGAAAUCGGACAAGGGAACCACAACUAGCAUUGGACUAAUGUGGUAUCGAGAAUUGGAUCACAACAUGCUUUGGACUAGUGUGAUAACACGUCACACAUCAAUUAUAACUAAAUUAAUCAUGUAAAGUCUAAAGAAAGCAUGUAAACACAUAAUAUCACAUAAACACAUAACACAUAAUCAUAAUAUCUAGAUGCAAGACCCUAAGAAAGCGGUAACACAUAGCACGUAAGCAUGCAAAUCACACAAGCAAACAAACCCUAACUAUUACAUUUGAAGGGGGCCUACUACAAUCUAAGAGGGGGAAAAGGAAUAAAAUAAAUACCUAACUAUUACAAAUUUGGCAUUCAAGCCUCCAAAUAAUUACAUUAGAAGAAAAUGGAAUUAAAGAACAACCAAUGUAGAUAAAAAUAAAAAUAAAAUAAACAAGCACGAAAUAAAACAUGCAAAAUUCACGAAAAAGCACAUAGGAGCACGUUGGAAAAAUAAAAUCAAGGAGAUAGAGAUUACCUCCCUUGAAGUUGGAGCUCUAAUGAAAUGAAAUCACUUAUUUACCCUCCAAAAACAAAGAAAGGUCAAGGCAUCACUUUAAUUAACAAAUAAUCGUGAAAUUGAAUCCAUUAAAAUCAUGUAAACAACCUAUAUUCAAAAAAUUAAAACAAUAAAGGACUUGAUUGCAAAAAUUAACAAAGCUUUGGGGUCAAAUUAUAAUCAUCACAAAAAUUUGGGGUCACAAUUAAAGAAAAAUAAAAUUCAGGGGCCUAUUUUCAAUUAAAUUAAGGUCUAAUUGAAAGGAACUAGAAGUUUUAGGGCCACAGUGAAGUUAAAGAAAAGUAUAGGGACUGAUCUGCAAAUUCGUUCUCUGGAUUACUUGAGCAAACAAGCUUGUGGGCCUAUUUCUUAUUUCAUCUUGGGUCAAAGCUUCCUAAGCCCAAAAAGAGUCCAACAAACAGAUGCGGGCCAAAACAUCAUUUUUAUCAAACAAACCCAACAAAAUGAAUGGGCUUUAACCCCCAAAUCCAACUACAAGCCCAGGAAACAAACAAACAAAACCCAACAAUUCACCCAAGAUAUAAAGGAUGAUUAAAAUUUAAAAGGGCCAAAUCAAUUCGAUUUUUUAUAUAUUUUGGGCCACCGGGAAAUUAGAUAAAAUUUGAGGGGUUAAAUUGCAAUUUUCAGAUUUGUUCAUGCAUGCUCUUCGCAGAAGGCUUUUUCUUCACAGAAACUCUUCUUCAUCACUGAUUUCUAUGAUUUUUGCAGCAUAUACAACCGAAGCAACUUAGGCCACCUCAAACCAAAUCAUCAAAUUCAUUAACCCAUUCCUAUUAAGCUCCAAAACUCAACACAACAGGCAGGAUACAAACCCUUGAAGGUCAACCAAAGAACAAAAAUUGAAGAGCAUGCAAUCAAGACGUUUCUGUAACAAUACUUCUUAUGAAAUUCAUGCCAGACGCAAACAACGUCCAAUCACACAUCAAACAUUCAAACAAAAAAAAAACAAGACCUUACAGCUCUAAUCAUUGAAAUUUAACCAAGAUGCAAGCUACAGAGACCCAUCGAAAGGAUGCAAAAACAAGAACGAAAGCAGCAAAAAUUUUGGCAAUUUGGACAAAUAAUCAUCUUCUCCACCGAGCUAACAUCAGUUAUUAUCUCAGCCUUCUUUCGGUCAACAAUACCAGGAAUUUGGUUUCAAUUCCAACAAUUCCCAACAGACAAUGAACUCACGACACUCCUUCUCGUGACAUCAGUUCGGAUUCAAACAUAGAAAAGCAUAGAGAGAGAAAUAAAGACAGAAAAAGGCACAAGGAAACAACACGUCAAAGCCUCUCAAAAACACUGCUUUUUAUUAGAAAAAAAAAUUAGCUAUUAUGCUCGGACAAACAAUAAGCCAACCGAAUGUUCAUUUUCCUUACACACAAAACGCAGGCAGAUCAUCUUCAAGUAGAAUUCUCAAUUGGGCAUUUUAUCAAACAAUAAAUGGCCAUAAAAAUUUCAGCAAAUCUUUGUUCAAUUGAUGUCAUAUACAGCCCCAAGAUUUAUUAGAAACAGACAAAUUCAGCCCAAUCGACGUGUACAGCAUCCAUAUUAAAAAAUUUGAGGCCAAUUAGCAGGAAAAUCACACUAGAUGAAGCCACGGCAGACCCAUUUCACAAACUUGAGAAGAACUGAAAUUUAAAUAGAAAAACUUAC